AUUGAACGCUGGCGGCAUGCCUAACACAUGCAAGUCGAACGGGGCAGCAAUGCCUAGUGGCGGACGGGCGAGGAAUACGUAGGAAUCUGCCCUUCAGUGGGGGAUAACCAGGGGAAACCCUGACUACUACCGCAUGAUCUCUUCGGAGCAAAGAGGGGGACCGCAAGGCCUCUCGCUUCUGGAUGAGCCUACGUCUGAUUAGCUAGUUGGUAGGGUAAAGGCCUACCAAGGCGACGAGCAGUAACUGGUCUGAGAGGAGGAUCAGUCACACCGGAGCUGAGACACGGUCCGGACUCCUACGGGAGGCAGCAGUAGGGAAUCUUGCGCAAUGGGCGAAAGCCUGACGCAGCCAUGCCGCGUGAAUGAUGAAGGUCUUAAGAUUGUAAAAUUCUUUCACCGGGGAAGAUAAUGACGGUACCUGGAGAAAAAGCCCCGGCUAACUUCGUGCCAGCCGCCGCAGUAACAC
rnacentral:rRNA from 1 species